UAAGACGUAGGGCGCGAGCGUUGUCCGGAUUUAUUGGGCGUAAAGAGCUCGUAGGCGGCUUGUCGCGUCGACUGUGAAAACCCGUGGCUCAACCAUGUGGUCUGCAGUCGAUACGGGCAGGCUAGAAUUCGGUAGGGGAGACUGGAAUUCCUGGUGUAGCGGUGAAAUGCGCAGAUAUCAGGAGGAACACCGGUGGCGAAGGCGGGUC
rnacentral:rRNA from 1 species